CAGAGUUCAUGCCCGAAAGGGUAGACCUCCCACCCUUGUGUAUUAUUACUUUGUUGCUUUGGCGAACUGCCCUUGGGCCUUGUAUGUUCGUCAGAGGAUAAUAAAAACUCUUUUUAUUAAUGUCGUCUGAGUACUAUAUAAUAGUUAA
rnacentral:rRNA from 1 species